UACGGAGGGUGCGAGCGAUAUUCGGAAUUAUUGGGCGUAAAGGGCGCGUAGGCGGUUUAGUAAGUCAGAUGUGAAAGCCCUGGGCUUAACCCUGGAAGAGCAUUUGAUACUACUGGACUUGAGUAUGGGAGAGGGAAGCGGAAUUCCUGGUGUAGCGGUGAAAUGCGUAGAUAUCAGGAGGAACACCGGUGGCGAAGGCGGCUUCCUGGACCAAUACUGACGAUGAGGCGCGAAGGCGUGGGGAGCAAACAGG
rnacentral:rRNA from 1 species